UCAAAAACAUGUCUUGUUGAUUUUAAUUUCAAGUUUAACCUGCCCACUGAAUAAUUUAAAUGGCCGCAGUAUUUUGACUGUGCUAAGGUAGCAUAAUCAUUAGUUUCUUAAUUAGGAGCUGGAAUGAAUGGUUGGAUGAAAUAACUAUUGUCUCUAUUUAAUUUUAAUAUAAUUUUAUUUUUAAGUAAAAAAGCUUAAAUGUUUUUAAAAGACGAGAAGACCCUUUAGAGUUUAAUAAAUAAUAAAUUUAAUUUUAUUAGAAUAAAUAUUUUUAAUUUUAGAUUUAUUUAAUUGGGGUGAUUGAAAAAUUUAAUUAACUUUUUUUUAUUUUUACAUUGAUUUAUGAGUUUUUGAUCCAUUAUUAAUGAUUAUAAGAUUAAAUUACCUAAGGGAUAACAGCGUAAUAUUAUCAAAGAGUUCUUAUCGAAGAUAAAGAUUGCGACCUCGAUGUUGGAUUAAAAUAAAUGUUGGUGUAGAAGUUAACAUUAUUAGGUCUGUUCGACCUUUAAAAUUUUACAUGAUCUGA
rnacentral:rRNA from 1 species